UCCGAAAUAGCUCAAUCGGUAGAGCAACCGGCUGUUAACCGGUAGGUUCCAGGUUCGAACCCUGGUUUCGGAGCCA
rnacentral:tRNA from 1 species